AUCUUCUGUGUUCAAACAUGGCAAAAUUGACGUGCGAGUUGUGGUCCACAGCAAGAAAAUAUAUGAGACAAAUCAGUUGUAGUUGUUAAAAAGAAGUUGGCAUGUAAUGACAGAUACAUGGCAUUUAAUGGAGAUUUGAAUAAGAAAUCUUACAUUCAAACCUUAAUGUUCUGCCUUACGCAAGAAAGUAUACAUAUAAAAUGGAAAUAAAAUGAAAAAGCUGAAUGCUACUUUGUUUAUUCACACCAAUCUCAAAGCAACCAUUGACAGCUUAAUUGGCAGUUGGAAAGCUAAGACCUCAAUAAUCAGCAAGGUAGUGGUUGGAAGAGUGCAAUGGAUAUAGUUUGAAAAACAAGAGACAACCCCUCUUUUUUUCUUUCUAUUAAAUUAGAACUUCUCCUGGAUGCUGCAUCUAAAUUUACAGGUUGCCAUCAUUUGCGUUUGCCCACUUUCCUCUCUCAGUCUUUGGGGGAUUAGUUGCCCCAGAGAAAGCCACUUAACUUUUUCAUAAUUUUGGAAAUAACAUCAUUUCCAAUGAAGCUUAGUGCUUAAGUAAGUGUACCUCAAUAUAUAUAGAUGUCUCAUCUUAAUUUCUCACACCAACUUUUCCUCUCUGUUCUAUACCAUGGCUUUCAUGGCGCAUGGCUCCCAUGUUCUCCAAAUGUUGUUUCUUUUUCCUGCAAUAGAUUCUCAAUCUAAGGCCUCCUUAGCUCAAUCAAUGCUGUCUGUCUGCAGCUGAGCUUUAACUUGCAUCCACCUCUUCUAAUCAUUUCACUCAUGCCUCCUUGCUUACCCUAUAUAAUUGCACUCUUUAUUUAUCUGUCACCUUAAUUGCUGCUUAAUUUAAGCAUGGAAAAGGAAAGGAACAUGAGAAAUAGGAUAGACCAUAAAGAAACCUUUCAUUGCUCCUUAGCAAUGAUGGGGAUAACAUGAUUAGAUUUAUGGCUGGAUUGUUUUAUCAAAGAGGAUCCUAAGAGACAGAUAAGUUUGCAAGUACUCAAUAUAAAUGCCCACUGAUGUAAAUUUCUAGGUAACUAUGCUCUUUACAAACUGAUGGCAUGGCUUCUAUUAAAAUUUUACACUCAGUUACAAAAAUGGAACUCUGUGAACAAAAUGAAUAGUUUGUUCCUUUUCAAAAAGAACAAAA